AUAGAAUAUCCCUUCUGCUCUGGUAGAGGAAAGCUGAGUGUAGGGCUGAUGUUACAGAGGAUGUAGUCCUCCUAUGUCUUCCUGGAUUUUUCUCCCUGGAUCCCAGAGAAAUAGCAUUCAAGCCCAGCUUGCUCACUCCCAUUUGCAUCUGGAUCCCAGAGAAGUAGCAUUCAAACCCAGCUUGUUCACUCCCAUUUGCAACUCUUCUCUGCUGCAGGCAGUUGGCUGGGAUAACAUGGCAUUCAUCUUCCUCAAUCGCUUUUUGGAUCUGACCGAUGAGGCUGAGAGAGAAGAGGUUCGAGACUGGGUGCUUACAGUCUCCAUGGACCAGCGGCUGGAGCAGGUUCUGCCUCGGGAUGAGCGUGGCGCCUAUGAGGCCUCCCUAGUGGCAGCGAGCACUGGGGUUCGAGCCCUGCCCUG
rnacentral:sRNA from 1 species